GCGGUUAGGUGUUUGCUUUUGCAUUGUGCGGCAAGGUGGAGUGCGAACUAUCGUUUCUAUGUUUGAGGUGCUUUGCACAUGUUGGAAGCUGCCAACUCUUUUACGGAACUGCAAUCCCAUGGUAUGUAAUUUAUGCGGUAUACAUCAUUAUGUUGCUGUUAUGCAAUGUCUCCAGUUUUUACCUUGUUUUGUUGUACAGUCAUUGUGCUAUGGCCAAAUGCCUGUGGUCUGUUUUAUGUUCAGGCUUAUCGCACAUACCAGUAUCCUCAACUCUUGCUGUGGCUGCAUGGCCACACAUGGAACCGAGCAUGCUUGAUUCAUCUUACAGUCCUGGACCCGCAUAUCUGACCGGGGCUACAAGGUCACAAACAGACCCACAAGUGCUCGCUUUCAUGGAAAGGAUACAACAUGUGUUAAAUAGCAUGAAGCACACCCAGCAAGCCCAUUUGCAAUAUUUCAGCGAGCUGCUAAGUAAUGCCGACAGUGCAGCUCCGCACCCUCAUGGCCUCCCAGACCUGCCUUUCUCGAAUGUGGCGGAUGUCCUUGCGUAUGAAGAGAAGCUCGAGACAGACAGCAAAGCUCAUGAUCAAAUGAAAAAGCACAUGGCUGUACAAGGGGGAGAUUCGACGAAACAGAAAAGAACAUGUGUACUGCAGUCCCUCCUCAGCUGGAAUGCUGCAGUGGGCUUCAGUUGGUUUGGCACAAAGUGAAAGAAAAUUCUGUGAACUGCACCUCUGCAAGCUGAUGUGCAGUGAGUCAGGCGUGUUGACUAAUGACAUCCGAAACCCGAAUGCGACCCUGAAGGAUGUGGAGAAGGCUGCGAUGACCUGGUUCCGUCAUGCUGCUGAGCGGCUGGCCGCGCAACAAAAAUAGUUUAUUUAUUUUUUUUUCAACUAAUAAGAUAAUCCUGAAGGUCAGUUAUUGUUGCAAAUUCUCUGCAUUGCGUGUAUUAAAAUUUGUGUUGCUUUUUUUUCACCACUGUUUCAUUCCUUCUUUGUUGUUUCUUGUUUAUGUAUGCCAUAUUCAGUGCCAUCAUUUUUCUGGUGAAUUGUUUCCUGUGCUGGAACUGAACUUUUUGUUUCCUAAAACUUCAUUUUCUUACUUGCACACUGCCUGUAGAUUGAAGAGCAAAGAGUAAUUAACUGCACCAAUAGUGUAAUGCUAAAAUCAGGUCCACUACAUAGUACAUUGUUCAAAAAGUGCCCUGCAGUAAUCGCAAAAGCAUCCGAGCAAGCAAGUACAACCCUGAAUUCCGCACUAGUAGAUGAGAAUUAAACAAGUUGUGUGUGCUAGUAAAGAAAUUGUGUUUCAGGAAAUCAAAAUUUCAGUUAGGCUAAGGGAACGACAGAGCAAGAAAGUGAUUACUUUAAGCUUUUUAUUAACAGUUCCAGUGAGGAGAAUGUUUCCUAAUGAUAUAUAUGUGUGCCCUUUAUGCAUGGCAAAUGUGCAGUAAAAUAAAGAAUUCAAA